GCUGGGUGUGGUGGUGCACACCUGUAAUCCCAGGUACUCAGGAGGCCGAGACAGGAGACUCACUUGAACCUGGGAGGCAGAGAUUGCAGUGAACCAAGAUUGAGCCACUGCACUCCAGCCUGAGUGACAGAGUGAGACUCUGUCUCAA
ensembl:misc_RNA Metazoa_SRP Metazoan signal recognition particle RNA